rnacentral:rRNA from 1 species
CUUUACUGUAACUUGAAAUUGAAAUUGGACUUUAUUUGCGCAGUAUAGGUGGGAGGCGUUGAGGAUAUUCUUGCGGGAAUAUUGGAGCCAUCAGUGAGAUACCACUCUUGUAAUGUUAGAUUUCUAACUUUGGAUCAUUAUCUGGUCAAAGAACAGUUUCAGGCGGGCAGUUUGACUGGGGCGGUCGCCUCCCAAACGGUAACGGAGGCGUACAAAGGUUUCCUCUGAACGGGUAGAAAUCGUAUCUAGAGUGCAAAGGCAUAAGGAAGCUUGACUGUGAGACCUACAAGUCGAGCAGGGACGAAAGUCGGUCUUAGUGAUCUGACGGUGCUGAGUGGAAAGGCCGUCACUCAACGGAUAAAAGUUA